rnacentral:rRNA from 1 species
UAUGGUAAUUGCCAGCAGCCGCGGUAAUACGUAGGCGGCAAGCGUUGUCCGGAAUUAUUGGGCGUAACGGGAGCGCAGGCGGGAAACUAAGCGGAUCUUAAAAGUGCGGGGCUCAACCCCGUGAUGGGGUCCGAACUGGUUUUCUUGAGUGCAGGAGAGGAAAGCGGAAUUCCCAGUGUAGCGGUGAAAUGCGUAGAUAUUGGGAAGAACACCAGUGGCGAAGGCGGCUUUCUGGACUGUAACUGACGCUGAGGCUCGAAAGCUAGGGUAGCGAACGGG